ensembl:snoRNA
AUCCUUUUGUGGUUCACAAGCAUGGUGAUUAUUUUAGAUUGAUAGAUGUUUGUGUGAUGCGUGCCUUCCUCUAACAUUUUUAUGACGUUGGCGCAUUACCCACCUGAUG